rnacentral:rRNA from 1 species
GCUCAGGAUGAACGCUGGCGGCGUGCCUAAUACAUGCAAGUCGAGCGAACAGACGAGGAGCUUGCUCCUCUGACGUUAGCGGCGGACGGGUGAGUAACACGUGGAUAACCUACCUAUAAGACUGGGAUAACUUCGGGAAACCGGAGCUAAUACCGGAUAAUAUAUUGAACCGCAUGGUUCAAUAGUGAAAGACGGUUUUGCUGUCACUUAUAGAUGGAUCCGCGCCGCAUUAGCUAGUUGGUAAGGUAACGGCUUACCAAGGCAACGAUGCGUAGCCGACCUGAGAGGGUGAUCGGCCACACUGGAACUGAGACACGGUCCAGACUCCUACGGGAGGCAGCAGUAGGGAAUCUUCCGCAAUGGGCGAAAGCCUGACGGAGCAACGCCGCGUGAGUGAUGAAGGUCUUCGGAUCGUAAAACUCUGUUAUUAGGGAAGAACAAAUGUGUAAGUAACUAUGCACGUCUUGACGGUACCUAAUCAGAAAGCCACGGCUAACUACGUGCCAGCAGCCGCGGUAAUACGUAGGUGGCAAGCGUUAUCCGGAAUUAUUGGGCGUAAAGCGCGCGUAGGCGGUUUUUUAAGUCUGAUGUGAAAGCCCACGGCUCAACCGUGGAGGGUCAUUGGAAACUGGAAAACUUGAGUGCAGAAGAGGAAAGUGGAAUUCCAUGUGUAGCGGUGAAAUGCGCAGAGAUAUGGAGGAACACCAGUGGCGAARGCGACUUUCUGGUCUGUAACUGACGCUGAUGUGCGAAAGCGUGGGGAUCAAACAGGAUUAGAUACCCUGGUAGUCCACGCCGUAAACGAUGAGUGCUAAGUGUUAGGGGGUUUCCGCCCCUUAGUGCUGCAGCUAACGCAUUAAGCACUCCGCCUGGGGAGUACGACCGCAAGGUUGAAACUCAAAGGAAUUGACGGA